UACGUAGGGUGCAAGCGUUAAUCGGAAUUACUGGGCGUAAAGCGUGCGUAGGCGGUUAUGCAAGACAGAUGUGAAAUCCCCGGGCUCAACCUGGGAACUGCAUUUGUGACUGCAUGGCUAGAGUGCGGCAGAGGGGGAUGGAAUUCCGCGUGUAGCAGUGAAAUGCGUAGAUAUGCGGAGGAACACCGAUGGCGAAGGCAAUCCCCUGGGCCUGCACUGACGCUCAUGCACGAAAGCGUGGGGAGCAAACAGG
rnacentral:rRNA from 1 species